UGGGGAAUAUUGGACAAUGGACCAAGAGUCUGAUCCAGCAAUUCUGUGUGCACGAUGAAGUUUUUCGGAAUGUAAAGUGCUUUCAGUUGGGAAGAAAGAAAUGACGGUACCAACAGAAGAAGUGACGGCUAAAUACGUGCCAGCAGCCGCGGUAAUACGUAUGUCACGAGCGUUAUCCGGAUUUAUUGGGCGUAAAGCGCGUCUAGGUGGUUAUGUAAGUCUGAUGUGAAAAUGCAGGGCUCAACUCUGUAUUGCGUUGGAAACUGUAUAACUAGAGUACUGGAGAGGUAAGCGGAACUACAAGUGUAGAGGUGAAAUUCGUAGAUAUUUGUAGGAAUGCCGAUGGGGAAGCCAGCUUACUGGACAGAUACUGACGCUGAAGCGCGAAAGCGUGGGUAGUAAACAGGAUUAGAUACCCUGGUAGUCCACGCCGUAAACGAUGAUUACUAGGUGUUGGGGGUCGAACCUCAGCGCCCAAGCAAACGCGAUAAGUAAUCCGCCUGGGGAGUACGUACGCAAGUAUG
rnacentral:rRNA from 1 species